AGAAGAAGAAGAAGUCUCGUAAUAAUUAAGCAUCGCGAUCCUUCUACCAGCUGGCCGAGGGCUAUUUGACGAAUUAAAAUGAUCUUCUAGAACUUCGACAAGAUUUAUUAAAAAACUAAGCCUUAGAGAGGGACGUCUCUUGGAUCGAACAACUGUGAUCUAAGGUAGCUGCUCCUGUUCAUAAACUCAGGUUGUUAUGGAAGCUGUUUUGAACUACAAAACUGAUGACUUGGAGGAUUACUACGGGUUAUUAGGAUGUGAUGAACUAUCGACGACUGAACAGAUUCUCAGUGAAUACAAGAUUCGAGCCUUGGCAUGUCAUCCAGACAAAAACCUGCAAAACCCAGGAGCAGUGGCAGAUUUCCAAAAGCUACAGGAAGCAAAGGAUGUUUUGUGCAAUCAAACCAAAAGAAAAAACUACGACCUUUGGAAAAGAAGUGGUAUUACUGUUCCAUUUCUCAACUGGUGUGCCUUAAAUGACUCUGUAAAAACGUCAGUACACUGGGCUGUGAGAGAUAGGAAGGAACCAAUGUUGGAGGCUUCAAAAGCACAAGUCCCAGGCUCUGCCCAAUCAGCAAGGACCUCUUUAUGUGAUGCCUUACCAUCUUCAACUGCACUGCUGCUGAGAAAAAAGAUCUGCAGCGGGUUGUGAGGACGGCUGAGAGGCUUUUCGGGUUUCCUUCUCCCAAACCUGAACGAUAUCCACUCAAGCCGUCUCGUCACACGGACCACAAACAUCCUGCAGGACCCCUCACACCCCGGUGAUUACUGCCAUCAACUUUGGCGUUGGGUUCCUGACUCAUCUACCAGUCUGCUGCAGAGGUUUAGAAAUUAUGAAAUAUAACCAAAUGACCUCUGAACAAGCAAAAAUCUGACAGUUUAAUGUUAGUAAAUGUUAAUGAUUUUGUUAUUUGUUACCUAUUGGUUAUGUUCAUGAGCACACAAUGGAGUGUUGUCAUUACUAAUACUGAAGUACCUUAAAUGGUGAAUUUUGUAUUUUUGGGUAAGUUCAUAAUAUUGGGAACAUAAAACAUUAUUUCGAAUAAAUUUAUUAUUUAAUGUCUACAAUGUCUUCUACAUGGAAACAAAAAAUGCCUCUGCAAUUAUGAGUUGAAUGUGAAAAAGAUUAACUGUUUCAAUGGGCAUCAACAAAUAUCGAAUUGUGAAAAUUGUAGUGGAAAAAUAUUUAAUACUGUGUAUUACUUAAUACUUUAUGAUUUGUGUGUUUCCACUGUUCAAUGUGACUCAGCAUGAUCCUCUCUACUGAAUAACAUAGUUUCCCUAAUCAGAGUACAUUGACAAGAAACCCCUGCAAAUUAACAAAGUCCAUCUUCUACUACCAAUGUGGCCCAAGAUAUGUAAACAUCACCCUGUGCCUACGUGACUGUCUAGUAUGUGUGUAUGUGACUGGUAAGGUAUUAAACCUCUGGAUGGAGACAGAAGAGGGAAGCAGACUCCUGAACCUUAUUUUGUUGUGACUUUGUCUCUUCGAUUGUAAUUUUGCUGAUCAGAUUUUGAUUAAUUCUGUUUGAUUAACUUUCAUUACAAUAAAUUACUUAAAAUAUA